AUCAAUACAAUCUACUUCGUCAGUUCUAAGUUUAGAACUUUUUGCUGAUGUAACGCUUAGUAUCCUAUAUAUAGGUAGUAUACACAAUGAUGGCAGGGAUUAGAAUGCACGUCCUUUGCACGUCUGGAAUAUCUUUUUACCGGCUUUCGCCAGGCGUGGAGACAUCCGACAGGAAAUGGGGAACUCUUUGAAUGUGUUGGUUCUCAGCAGUUUUUUCAAAGAUACGGACGAACUGAGCAAACUAAUAACGAAUGGCAACUGUCAACAGAGGUCGUCAGCUGUCAACAGAGAACAAUCGUCAACGAGAAAAAAAUAACAACAAAGGUCAUCUGUCAAAAAGGAUGAACAAUCAGCAGGAACACCUGUCAAGAAGGACCACAUAUUAACAAAGCUUAUCCAAUUAUAAACGGCAACUGUCAAUUAAGCCAAUUUACAAUCAAGAAUAUCUUCUAUUAUAAAGGGAUGUCUGGCAAUUAGGGUUGCCUGUCAAUAAAGUUCAUCUUUAAUAAGGACACCUAUUUAUAGUAAUAUUUAUUAUGUAUGUCAAUUUAGUGUAUGUCAAAGAAGGCUGUAUGUCAAUUAAGUUAAUGCAAAUAAAGGUUGUAUGUCGACCAAUAAUGUAUGUCAAUUAAGAUGUAUGUCAAUAAAUGCUAUGUCAAUUUAGCUUCUAUCAAUAAAGGAUGUAUGUCAAUUAAGUUUUUGUCAAUAAAAGAUCUAUGUCAAUUAUGAUGUAUGUCAAUGAAGGCUGUAUGUCAAUGACGGCUUUAUGUCAAUUAAUGCUGUAUGUAAAUGAAGGCUGUUUGUCAAUAAAGUUUAUGUCAAUGAAGGCUGCAUGUCAAUAAAGGCUGUUUGUCAAUAAA